rnacentral:rRNA from 1 species
CCUACGGGGGGCAGCAGUGAGGAAUAUUGGUCAAUGGGCGAGAGCCUGAACCAGCCAAGUCGCGUGAAGGAUGACGGCCCUACGGGUUGUAAACUUCUUUUGUCAGGGAGCAAUUGAGUCCACGUGUGGUCUUAGCGAGAGUACCUGAAGAAAAAGCAUCGGCUAACUCCGUGCCAGCAGCCGCGGUAAUACGGAGGAUGCGAGCGUUAUCCGGAUUUAUUGGGUUUAAAGGGUGCGUAGGCGGAAUAUCAAGUCAGCGGUAAAAAUUCGGGGCUCAACCCCGUCGUGCCGUUGAAACUGGGGUUCUUGAGUGGGCGAGAAGUAUGCGGAAUGCGUGGUGGAGCGGUGAAAUGCAUAGAUAGCACGCAGAACUCUGAUUGCGAAGGCAGCAUACCGGCGCCCUACUGACGCUGAGGCACGAAAGCGGGGGUAUCGAACAGGAUUAGAUACCCUAGUAGUC